rnacentral:snRNA from 1 species
GAUCAGCUCAGCUUUAGUAGAAA